CCUUCGGGUGGCAGCAGUGGGGAAUAUUGGGCAAUGGGCGCAAGCCUGACCCAGCAACGCCGCGUGAAGGAAGAAGGCUUUCGGGUUGUAAACUUCUUUUAAGGGGGAAGAGCAGAAGACGGUACCCCUGGAAUAAGCCACGGCUAACUACGUGCCAGCAGCCGCGGUAAUACGUAGGUGGCAAGCGUUGUCCGGAUUUACUGGGUGUAAAGGGCGUGCAGCCGGAGAGACAAGUCAGAUGUGAAAUCCACGGGCUCAACCCGUGAACUGCAUUUGAAACUGUUUCCCUUGAGGGUCGGAGAGGUAAUCGGAAAUCCUGGGGUAGCGGGGAAAUGCGUAGAUAAAAGGAAGAAAACCAGUGGGGAAGGCGGAUUACUGGACGAUAACUGACGGUGAGGCGCGAAAGCGGGGGGAGCAAACAGGAUUAGAUACCCCAGUAGUC
rnacentral:rRNA from 1 species